rnacentral:rRNA from 1 species
AUACGUAGGGUGCAAGCGUUAAUCGGAAUUACUGGGCGUGAAGCGUGCGCAGGCGGUUCGGAAAGAAGGAUGUGAAAUCCCAGGGCUCAACCUUGGAACUGCAUUCUUAACUACCGAACUAGAGUAUGUCAGAGGGGGGUAGAAUUCCGCGUGUAGCAGUGAAAUGCGUAGAUAUGCGGAGGAAUACCGAUGGCGAAGGCAGCCCCCUGGGAUAAUACUGACGCUCAUGCACGAAAGCGUGGGUAGCAAACAGGAUUAGAUACCCUGGUAGUCCACGCCCUAAACGAUGUCAACUAGCUGUUGGGCCCUUCGGGGCUUAGUAGCGUAGCUAACGCGUGAAGUCGACCGCCUGGGGAGUACGGUCGCAAGAUUAAAACUCAAAUGAAUUGACGGGG